CUGAUCACUUCUGCAGCACAUGUACUAAAACUGGGAUGAUAGAGAUUAGCAUGGCCCCUGCACAAGGAUGACAUGCAAAUUCGUGAAGCAUUCCAGAAAACC